rnacentral:sRNA from 1 species
GCUGGGCUCAGUAGCUUGUGCCUGGAGUCCCAGCUACUAGGGAGGCUGAGGUAGGAGGAUCACUUGAAUCCAGGAGCUCAGGGCCAGCCUGGGCAGCACAGGGAGAUCCUGUCUCAA